rnacentral:misc_RNA from 1 species
AAAAAAAAAAAAAAAAGAAUUUUCACCAAACAUAAAAGAGCCAAAUUUGACAUUGGCAGUAAUAUGAAGAAGAAAUCAUCAAAAGAAAUUAAGCAGCAUUUUGUUGAAUCAAUUGACCCUUUUGAAACAAAAAUACUAGUCUACGCCCGAGUUUAUGCAAUCACAAAAAACCAGAACACAUGUAGCAUAUAAAAAAUGCACAUACAAUUUGCUAGUAAUACAUAUACCUUAUGAAAACGAACAUUGUGACACGACCAGUUAAAUAAAAUAAAUACGAAACCCAAAUUCAUAUCUUCCCAUAUAAGGUAACAUAAUUCAAAAUUGUCAAUAUAACAUCAACACCCAUUCCAAUAAGUUCACCUCUAGAGGAAGGGGAAAAAACAAAAGACAAUUUCUCUUUAUGAAGUCAUCAAUGUUAUUCUAAAAAGCAGACGCCUUUCCGCACGCUUAUGUAAAACAAACCAUCUUAAGAACACCCAAAAAAAAUCCAACUCCAUUUAUCUGUAACAUAAACCCUCGGAUAUACUCUGUGCCAGAUAUUUACUAGUACCCAA